rnacentral:rRNA from 1 species
UACAGAGACUGCAAGCGUUAUUCGGAUUCACUGGGCGUAAAGGGCGCGUAGGCGGCCUGUUAAGUCGAACGUGAAAUCCCCGGGCUCAACCCGGGAACUGCAUCUGAUACUGGAUGGCUUGAGUUCGGGAGAGGGAUGCGGAAUUCCAGGUGUAGCGGUGAAAUGCGUAGAUAUCUGGAGGAACACCGGUGGCGAAGGCGGCAUCCUGGACCGGCACUGACGCGUGAGGAGCGAAGCCAGGGGAGCAAACGGG